rnacentral:rRNA from 1 species
AGGGAAUCUUCCGCAAUGGACGAAAGUCUGACGGAGCAACGCCGCGUGAGCGAAGAAGGCCUUCGGGUCGUAAAGCUCUGUUGUCAGGGAAGAACAAGUACCGGAGUAACUGCCGGUACCUUGACGGUACCUGACGAGAAAGCCACGGCUAACUACGUGCCAGCAGCCGCGGUAAUACGUAGGUGGCAAGCGUUGUCCGGAAUUAUUGGGCGUAAAGCGCGCGCAGGCGGUCCUUUAAGUCUGAUGUGAAAUCUUGCGGCUCAACCGCAAGCGGCCAUUGGAAACUGGGGGACUUGAGUGCAGGAGAGGGAAGUGGAAUUCCACGUGUAGCGGUGAAAUGCGUAGAGAUGUGGAGGAACACCAGUGGCGAAGGCGGCUUCCUGGCCUGUAACUGACGCUGAGGCGCGAAAGCGUGGGGAGCAAAC